rnacentral:rRNA from 1 species
UACGUAGGGUGCGAGCGUUGUCCGGAAUUAUUGGGCGUAAAGGGCUCGUAGGAGGUUUGUCGCGUCGGGUGUGAAAACCCAGGGCUUAACUCUGGGCUUGCUUUCGAUACGGGCAGACUAGAGGUAUGCAGGGGAGAACGGAAUUCCUGGUGUAGCGGUGAAAUGCGCAGAUAUCAGGAGGAACACCGGUGGCGAAGGCGGUUCUCUGGGCAUUGCCUGACGCUGAGGAGCGAAAGUGUGGGGAGCGAACAGG